AAGCAACAUAUAGAUUUUGUAUGAAUUCAUUUGGUUCUUUUGAAUCUUGCUCAAGCAAGAUGAUAGAAAAUUAUAAUGACCGGUUCCUUUAGGUCAAGGAUCUAUAAGAAUUCACCUAUUCCAAUAUUAAAAAAUAAAAUCUGAUUCGAAUGAUCAUGCAUUAAUAGCUAAAUUGCCUAAAAUUGUGGGUCAUAUAUAUUACGGAGAACUCGUAUGUCUAGAUGAUUUUUUUUAUAUAUUUUUCAGUAGUUAUUCUAGGUACUAUUGCAUGUAACGUAAAUUUGACGGUUCUAGAACCAUCAAUGGCUGGUGAAUUGGCAAAUCCAUUUGCAACCCCUUCGAAAAAUAUUAUUGAAAUGGUAUUUCUUUUUCAUUUUUCAAAUACUUGGUAUAGUGCCCAAUAUUGGAUGUUCUUUUAAUGGUUUCAAUACUUGAAGGAUUAUUAACAGUACAUUUUUUAGAGAAUAUUAACAAAUUUUGAAAUCAUUUCGUUGUCCAUUGGCUACAAUCAUCUUUUUAAUUGGUAUUGCAAUUGCUCUUUGGUUAGGUAUUGGUGAAAAAUUACCUUGAUAAAUCCCUAACUUCAGGUUUUUUUUUUUUUAAAUUUGAUUCAAUUGUAAAAUAACAGAAUGUGUGUAUCUAGGUAGUAUUCGAUUGAAAGCAAAUUCUCCCUAAAUAUAUCUAUUCAAUUUUGAAUUUCUUUCGAAAAUAUAAAUUGUGCUAAAGAUUCAAAACUUAUUUUCAUU
rnacentral:lncRNA from 1 species